AGUGAUUGCAGAUUCCGUGAAUCCAUCGAAUCUUUGAACGCACCUUGCGCUCUAUGGCAAUCCGUAGAGCAUGCCUGUUUGAGUGCCAUGAAAUCUCCCACCCCAAGCGGUUUUUAAAUGAAACGGCUUGGCGGAUGGGGUCUGGAUGGGUGCCUCUGCCUGCGCUACCUAUCACAGGCUCGCCCGAAAUGCAAGAGCGCCUUGACACCCUUUGCAUCCUCCUCUCUCUUUGGGAGGAGGCGGCCAAGCAGUGUUUUUCUCCUGGCAUGGGAUGAUACGUCUUUUGCUAUUUCUCCUAAGGGAGAAAUGUUUGGUUGUUCUGCUUGUGCUUCAAACUUUCUUCUUUGGCACAUCCCAAUUUCACUUCUGGUCUCAAUUCAGGUAGGAUCACCCGCUGAACUUAACCAUAUCAUAAACCGAAGAAAUAAAACAACAAAGAAAUAAUCCCCUAAGUCGGCAA
rnacentral:misc_RNA from 1 species